UUUCAACCAGAGCCAAGAAGGGCUCUCAAGCUCAAGCCCUAGUAUUGCUAAAUUGGCCAAAUUGAAAGGCCAAAUCAAACCCAAAUCGAAAUCCAAGCGCAAAUUAGUGAUCACCUCAGUAAAGGGAUCAUAAGACAAAGGAGUUGAGUCUUCAAGCGGACAAACCGGAGUGGACAUGCGCUUGAAGGGAACGCUUUAAAGUGAAAAUGGUUGAGUUGGUGAAGUUGCUCUUGCUCCGGAUGGUGAUCAAGCAUGAAUCUAAGAACCGAACACACCUCUCAAUGAAGCUUCCGCAAUUAUUAUGUUUUGUUUAAAAAAAAGAUUAUGUAAACACACUCAACUAUGUUUUGGGAUGUUGUAAACAUGUUUUAAAUACUUAUAAUGUAAGUGUUUUUGU
rnacentral:lncRNA from 1 species